rnacentral:rRNA from 1 species
UAGGGAAUCUUCGGCAAUGGACGAAAGUCUGACCGAGCAACGCCGCGUGAGUGAAGAAGGUUUUCGGAUCGUAAAACUCUGUUGUUAGAGAAGAACAAGGACGUUAGUAACUGAACGUCCCCUGACGGUAUCUAACCAGAAAGCCACGGCUAACUACGUGCCAGCAGCCGCGGUAAUACGUAGGUGGCAAGCGUUUUCCGGAUUUAUUGGGCGUAAAGCGAGCGCAGGCGGUUUCUUAAGUCUGAUGUGAAAGCCCCCGGCUCAACCGGGGAGGGUCAUUGGAAACUGGGAGACUUGAGUGUAGAAGAGGAGAGUGGAAUUCCAUGUGUAGCGGUGAAAUGCGUAGAUAUAUGGAGGAACACCAGUGGCGAAGGCGGCUCUCUGGUCUGUAACUGACGCUGAGGCUAGAAAGCGUGGGGAGCAAACAGG